rnacentral:rRNA from 1 species
GACGAACGCUGGCGGCGUGCCUAAUACAUGCAAGUUGAGCGAUGAAGAUUGGUGCUUGCACCAAUUUGAAGAGCAGCGAACGGGUGAGUAACGCGUGGGGAAUCUGCCUUUGAGCGGGGGACAACAUUUGGAAACGAAUGCUAAUACCGCAUAACAACUUUAAACAUAAGUUUUAAGUUUGAAAGAUGCAAUUGCAUCACUCAAAGAUGAUCCCGCGUUGUAUUAGCUAGUUGGUGAGGUAAAGGCUCACCAAGGCGAUGAUACAUAGCCGACCUGAGAGGGUGAUCGGCCACAUUGGGACUGAGACACGGCCCAAACUCCUACGGGAGGCAGCAGUAGGGAAGCUUCGGCAAGGGACGAAAGUCUGGCCGAGCAACGCCGCGUGAGUGAAGAAGGGUUUCGGAUCGUAAAACUCUGUUGGUAGAGAAGAACGUUGGUGAGAGUGGAAAGCUCAUCAAGUGACGGUAACUACACAGAAAGGGACGGCUAACUACGUG